ACCAUGUUCUUUCUCUCUUUUUUCUGCAGGUUGUUGUUUCUCGAGGGUCAGUAAGUAAUAAUGCCCCCAGUUCUAUCUGGCAUCCAAAGUUGCCCGACUAUUAAUUUUCCAUUAGCCCAAAGGCAUCAUCAUGAGCACUCUAAAAGCAUCUGUUGUACAAAUCUUAGUGAUUUUUCAAAAUCAAUAUACCAGAAUAUAUAAAAGUUGAAGACCUCUUUCAAAGCAGUUAGAGAUUAGCACAGAACGGAGCCCUCGGGGAUUUAUUUCCAGGUUGCAGAAACUUGGGCUGCAGACCAAACACGUGUUUGUUCUUUUUAGUAGGUUAACAGUAUUUCUUGCCAUCUGAGGAUAACAUGCCUUGGCUGGGCUGGUCGCUGUGCUGCAGAGGGACACCUCUAUUUACCCAGCAGCUCUCAGGACGCAGCGAUGCUCAGCACAGAAGCAGCACAGAUGUUGGUUUCCACCCCCCCUCUGCCCCACACACAGGCCAUCCGUGCCAUCAAUGGUGGCGACCACGAGACGAGCGCAGAGGAGUUCACCAACCGCGUCUUCAACAAAAUCGAUGUGAACGGGGACGGGUUUCUUUGUCCCUUUUUGGGUGUAGCUGAUGGCAGAGGGAGGAGUGGGAGCUGCUUGCUGGCAGUGCUGCUAAAGGUAAUAGAAUCACAUAGAAUCACAGAAUGGCCUGGGUUGAAAAGGACCACAAUGAUCAUCUUGUUUCAACCCCCUGCUAUGUGCAGGGUCACCA
rnacentral:lncRNA from 1 species